UGGGGAAUCUUGCGCAAUGGGCGAAAGCCUGACGCAGCAACGCCGCGUGAGCGAAGACGGCCUUCGGGUUGUAAAGCUCUGUCAGGAGGGACGAAGCCACUCAGGUGAAUAGCCGAGAGGGUGACGGUACCUCCAGAGGAAGCCCCGGCUAACUACGUGCCAGCAGCCGCGGUAAUACGGAGGGUGCAAGCGUUGUUCGGAAUUACUGGGCGUAAAGGGCGCGUAGGCGGCCUGAUAAGUCAGAUGUGAAAGUCCACGGCUCAACCGUGGAAGUGCAUUUGAAACUGUCAGGCUUGAGUAUCGGAGGGGAGUGUGGAAUUCCCGGUGUAGAGGUGAAAUUCGUAGAGAUCGGGAGGAACACCGGUGGCGAAGGCGACACUCUGGACGAAUACUGACGCUGAGGCGCGAAAGCGUGGGGAGCAAACAGGAUUAGAUACCCUGGUAGUCCACGCCGUAAACGAUGUGAACUAGGGAUAGGGGGUGUUGAUCCCUCCUGUCCCGCAGCUAACGCAUUAAGUUCACCGCCUGGGGAGUACGGUCGCAAGAUUA
rnacentral:rRNA from 1 species